UUUCUAUACAGGUAUUAGUUAAUCUCUUUAGGAUUGGGAAGGUCUAGAAGAAAGAAAUCUGGCUAUGUUAAUAGAGAUUCUUUACAGACGCAAAUUUUCCCCCAUAAAGAACAGCUUCGCAGGGCCAUUCCAAGAAACAUGUGUUGGGACCUAGGGGUUUGCCUGAGGACAGCAAAUGACUCAACUGCUGCAUAUGUGGGGCUCCUCUUGAGCAAGGGAAGAGUCCAAGAACAUGAGUGUCAUGACUAGAACUUCAGCAGUCAUCUUGCAACCACCAGGCAGCCUGAAAGAUGAGAACUACACACUGAGGAUAGCAGAGAAGAAAGAGAGGAGUCCAGGUUCCUGAUGAGCUAGGGGAGCUGCCACACCCACCAAGGACUGCCUAUUUACAGAGUGUUUACACAUUGGAAAAAAUAUAAAGCUCUACCUUACUUACA
rnacentral:lncRNA from 1 species